rnacentral:lncRNA from 1 species
AUUUUACUUUGCUUUCUAAAAUCUUUUAACCCUUUUAAUAGAAUAUUCUAAAAUCUUUUUAUAUUUUUACUGGUUUCUAAAACAACGAUUGAAAUACAAAUAGUGAUAGAAUAAUACCUUUAUUUCCAUCACGAAGAUCUCAUCAAAUUUUACAUUCUGUUUCAAUAUUAGAUGACUCAACAUAGGCCUCAUUUCUUUAAAGUCAUGCCUUUCUAUUUAGAGGGACUAAACAUUGUGUAUAUGGAUUUGACCUGUUUAACUUAGUGUUCUUGAACUCCUUUGGCAUGUUAACAUAAGAAUGAAAGUUAAAUCUGAAUAUUUCUUCCGUAACCUAAUUGAGUGAGAAAAGUUUGAAUCACCUAACUUCAUAAAAAAGUGAAAGAUUUAAAUUUUGAUCAUUUAGAAAAUAUGAAAAUAUAAAAUAGUAAGCUACAGAAAUAAUUAAAGGUUAUGUUUAACGAAAAUAAAGGAACAUUCUGUGAUUCACCAGGAAACAGUAGAUAGACUUUUUCCAAGUAUUGGCUCUUCUGCCUUGUAAAAGUUCAUUAGGGGGAAACAAAUGACUACAGGAGAUAGGUCAUAGAAAAGUGGUACCCAUUCUAGGCCUUCACUAAUAUGUUUCCUGAUUAUAUGGGCUUUCUUAGGAAGAAAGUUGGGUUGUCUAUUUCAGUGACCUUUCUUUAAACUUCAUGUUUUAGAUUUAAUGUAAUUUGAGGUACUUUUAAAUGCUGUGAGCCUCCUAGAGUAUUGUAUUAAGAGUUAGCCAUUAGAAAUUUAAUAGAAAACUAGUAGGGAUUACUAGAACAGUGAUGCUAUUCCAAAGAAUUCUCUGGGAACAAGUUAAUUGUUCACCUUGAAUAGAAAAUUUGAAUGUGAACUCAGUGUUCAUAAUAAUAAUCAUUGAUUCAGAGCAACAAAUAGAAAUUUAAAAAUUUGUACUACUUCUGUGUCUUGAUCAUGAAAUAUAUUGAUUUCCAGGAAAGUGAAGAAUAAAACAUUAAAGUAAGUCUAGACUUGCUAGUCUAUCACUUUAUUGGAACAAUACCUUUUUUGUUCCCUCCUACUUAAAGAGGUAUCUUCUUUGUUUUUAAUAUAAAUACUUUCUUUCCCUGGGAUGCCAGUAGUUCUAUUUUUAUGGUAGGUUAGGGAAGAAUACUCACUGUUCAUGUUUGUGUAACCUUUGUCUUAUAGUAGAAUAUGAAUUAUUUGUCAAUUUCUUCUAGUGUUAAUAAUCAGUAACUGUAGAGUUGAAAGGCUUAUAAAGUUGGAUAGUAGAGGAGAAAGAGUAUUUUCUGUAAAAAAAAUAAAUAAAUAAAGAAGGGGCUGGGGUUGUAGCUCAGUGGUAGAGCCCUUGCCUAGCACACGUGAGGCACUGAGUUCGAUCCUCAAAACCACAUAAAAAUAAAUAAAUAAAUAAAUAAUAAUGGGCGGAGUGGAUAUUAGUCAUAUUUAUCUUUAAAAUCACAACCACACUUAUCAUUCAAUUGCAUUUCAUGAUAUGAAAAAACAUAUAUUUUCUGCUAAACUUCCCUAGCUCUUUGCUGCUAUACUUCCUGGUGAGCUUUGCUAGCUUGAAAUUUAUCAGCUAAGAUCUUUUCCUUCAUUAUUGUUAUAAGCCAGUAGAGCUUAUUUUCUAAAGAAGUUAUGUAAUUACUAGUAGCUCUUAGGAUUUAUAGUCGUCUGGGUAGGUAGUUGAUAUGGGGAGGAUAUAGAAAACAGUUUGUUAAGCAUUUACUGUAUGGUAGUGUAAAAGAGUAGGAAAAACUUUUCCUACACUUAGUUUUUAUUUCUGACA